rnacentral:rRNA from 1 species
UGCAAGUCGAGGGGUAUUGGUUUUCGGACCAAGAGACCGGCGCACGGGUGCGUAACGCGUAUGCAAUCUACCUUUUGCAGAGGGAUAGCCCAGAGAAAUUUGGAUUAAUACCUCAUAGUAUAGUACUUUGGCAUCAAGGAACUAUUAAAGUCACAACGGCAAAAGAUGAGCAUGCGUCCCAUUAGCUAGUUGGUAAGGUAACGGCUUACCAAGGCUACGAUGGGUAGGGGUCCUGAGAGGGAGAUCCCCCACACUGGUACUGAGACACGGACCAGACUCCUACGGGAGGCAGCAGUGAGGAAUAUUGGACAAUGGGCGCAAGCCUGAUCCAGCCAUGCCGCGUGCAGGAUGACGGUCCUAUGGAUUGUAAACUGCUUUUAUACAGGAAGAAACACUCCGACGUGUCGGAGCUUGACGGUACUGUAAGAAUAAGGAUCGGCUAACUCCGUGCCAGCAGCCGCGGUAAUACGGAGGAUCCAAGCGUUAUCCGGAAUCAUUGGGUUUAAAGGGUCCGUAGGCGGUUUGGUAAGUCAGUGGUGAAAGCCCAUCGCUCAACGGUGGAACGGCCAUUGAUACUGCCAGACUUGAAUUACUGGGAAGUAACUAGAAUAUGUAGUGUAGCGGUGAAAUGCUUAGAGAUUACAUGGAAUACCAAUUGCGAAGGCAGGUUACUACCAGUGGAUUGACGCUGAUGGACGAA